AAACGUGUUGUCCCAGGAUGUCAUCGAAUCCACACACGGCCAACGAUCUGAACUGAAGAGCUGUAGACCAAAUGAUGACUACGCUGAAUAGCACGUGCCUCACCAUGCUGGCUUGUAUUUGCUUCCUGCCAUGGUGUUACACAAGGACGCAUAGUCCUCACACCGAGAAGGUUGUUUGCCAAGCUGAGAGCACUCUACGACUGCACUAAGCUGGCACUUUUCGAAGCCGAUCACAACAACACC